UACAGAGGUGGCAAGCGUUGUUCGGAAUUACUGGGCGUAAAGGGCGCGUAGGCGGCCCGUCAAGUCCCGUGUGAAAGCCCCCGGCUCAACCGGGGAACGGCGUGGGAAACUAGCAGGCUUGAGUUCGGGAGAGGGAAGCGGAAUUCCGGGUGUAGCGGUGAAAUGCGUAGAUAUCUGGAGGAACACCAGAGGCGAAAGCGGUGCCCUGGCAUUGGCCUGACGCUGAGAUGCGAAAGCGUGGGGAGCGAACGGG
rnacentral:rRNA from 1 species